rnacentral:rRNA from 1 species
GAUGAACGCUGGCGGCGUGCUUAACACAUGCAAGUCGAACGGAAAGGCCCAAGCUUGCUUGGGUACUCGAGUGGCGAACGGGUGAGUAACACGUGGGUGAUCUGCCCUGCACUUCGGGAUAAGCCUGGGAAACUGGGUCUAAUACCGGAUAGGACGAUGGUUUGGAUGCCAUUGUGGAAAGUUUUUUCGGUGUGGGAUGAGCUCGCGGCCUAUCAGCUUGUUGGUGGGGUAAUGGCCUACCAAGGCGUCGACGGGUAGCCGGCCUGAGAGGGUGUACGGCCACAUUGGGACUGAGAUACGGCCCAGACUCCUACGGGAGGCGGCAGUGGGGAAUAUUGCACAAUGGGCGCAAGCCUGAUGCAGCGACGCCGCGUGGGGGAUGACGGCCUUCGGGUUGUAAACUCCUUUCGCUAGGGACGAAGCGUUUUUGUGACGGUACCUGGAGAAGAAGCACCGGCUAACUACGUG